rnacentral:rRNA from 1 species
AGCAGUAGGGAAUCUUCGGCAAUGGACGAAAGUCUGACCGAGCAACGCCGCGUGAGUGAAGAAGGUUUUCGGAUCGUAAAACUCUGUUGGUAGAGAAGAACGUUGGUGAGAGUGGAAAGCUCAUCAAGUGACGGUAACUACCCAGAAAGGGACGGCUAACUACGUGUCAG